rnacentral:rRNA from 1 species
UAGGGAAUCUUCCACAAUGGACGCAAGUCUGAUGGAGCAACGCCGCGUGAGUGAAGAAGGUUUUCGGAUCGUAAAGCUCUGUUGUUGGUGAAGAAGGAUAGAGGCAGUAACUGGUCUUUAUUUGACGGUAAUCAACCAGAAAGUCACGGCUAACUACGUGCCAA